GCCUCCCUAGCUCAAUUGGUAGAGCAGCGGACUCUUAAUCCGCGUGUUCAGGGUUCAAGUCCCUGGGGGGGUA
rnacentral:tRNA from 2 species